GCAUUAAUGGGGUAGUGGUAACCUGGGUCGUUGCCAUCUGAAAUUCGACUGGGAAUUUCGACCCGCCGGGGGUUCGAUUCCCCCUUAAUGCA